UCUUGCAACCAUCAAUUUAACUAAAAGCUAGAAAUAGGGACAACCACUUGUGACAAAAGUUCAAUACAAAACUAAUAGUGUACAUCUAGUAUAGUAGUACCUCUUCUAAAAGAUUUUCCUUAAACUAUGGAUCUCAUAUCAACCAAUUACUGGCUAACGUCUUCUUUUUUUCUUACCUUAAAAAAAUUAAAAAAAAAAAAAAUUACCAACCACGUAUCAAGGACUUAAGAGUUCAUUACACAUUACAUGCAUACAAUUGUCAACUUUCAUGUGAUGCAAAAACUAUUUAUACCUCUCUUUAUCCUUGGAAGCAAAUCAUCCAAAAUUCAGUGUUUUCAAAAGACUUAAAACAACAAUUCACAUCUCCUCUCAAAGAAAUUUUCAGAAAAUGAAUAACUCGUCUGAAAAUCUUGGUUUCCAUGCUGGUGAGGCCAAGGGCCAAGCCAAGGAGAAGACUAGCAACAUCUCAGAAAAGGCUACCAAUGCUGCCCAAUCUGCCAAGGAAUCAUGCCAAGAGACUGGAGCACAAAUGCAAGCUAAAGCGCAAGGCGCUAUGGAAGCAGUGAAGGAUUCCAUGAGCAGCAGCAAAUAGAUGAGGCAGUUAUGUUUCGAAAAUCAUCAGCCAUUGAAGAAGCUUAGCUUGAUUGUGCCAGAUUUUCUAGGGCCUUUUUUUUUUUUUUUUUUUUUUUUUUUUUUUUGGUUUUCUCUUAGCAAUUUUGUUUAUCUUGUAUGCUCUAUUUAAGAAGCCAUGCAAUUAAUAAUCUAGUUUACGUUUAAAUGAAAAGUCCUGUGAGUUACAAGUAUACGUUUUACCGCAUUUAAUCUCUUAUAUGAAGUUUUAAUGCAAUUACCCCGUAUAAUAUAUAAACAUCAAUCCUUAAGCUAGCGCAAGUACACAAAAUUAAUUGUGGAUGAGAUUAUAAGAAUCUCGUUUGAUUUGAGCGUGUUAUUAGGCUUUAACAAGAGCUAGUUAGAGUAAUACUGUGUCACACACGUUUAAAUCUCAAUAUUAGCAUAUAUAUGAGCAAAUUAAUUAAACAAUACUCGUAUAAUUGAUUAAGUAGUGUACGCACAUGUAAAUAAUUAAUUUGUUAAACUUCUUCUUCUUUUUUUUUUCCCCCCUUAGGUUAUAAAUAAACCGUCGAGUUAUGUAUGUACCUUUGCAAGUUACAACAUAAGGAGGAUUUGAUAAGUAGUACUCUGUACUUUGUUAAUUAGUUGAAAAAAUCAUCCUACUAAUUU